GGGGGCAUAGCUCAGUUGGGAGAGCAGCAGACUGAAGCUUUCAUCAUUUCUGAAGGUCCCGCGUUCAAUCCGCGGUGCCCCCA